GUGGUUUGUUCUGUAGGGAGGGUUAGACUGGGAUUGAAUAGAUGUAUUUUGGUUUGUGUUUUUUUGACGGUUUGGUCAAGGGGAAGGGUUGUACAAAUGAUUUGCUAUUACUGUAUGUAACCCAAUGUUCUGAGAAGAUCUCUGUAUUGAUACCGAACAAAAAUAUAAACAACAUGCAACAAUUUCAAAGAUGUGACUGAGUUACAGUUCAUAUAAGGAAAUAAGUCAAUUGAAAUGUAUUCAUUAGGCCCACCUACUGGGGAACCAGGCCCUGUCAAUCAGAAUGAGUUUUUUUCCCCCAACGAAGGGCUUUAUUAGUUUUGGUUCCCGAGUGGCGCAGUGGAUCAGUGGCACAUUGCAUCUCAGUGCAAGAGGUGUCACUGCAGUACCUGGUGAUUGGGAGUCUCAUAGGGCGGCGCACAAUUGGCCCAGCGUCAUCCAGGGUAGGCCGUCAUUUUAAAUAAGAAUUUGUUCUUAACUGACUUGCCUAGUUAAAGGUUAAAUAAAUAAUAUUACAUUACAUACCAAAAUACUGCUCAGCGCAAAUUAAAGAAUUAAGCUUUUUGUGUGUAUGGAACAUUUCUGGGGUUUAUUAUUUCAGGUCAUGAAACGUGGGACCAACACGUUACAUGUUGCGUUUUAUAUUUUUGUUCGGUGUAAGUUGUUUCGAGAGGGGGCAGAUAAUAUGCUGCAACACUUCCCACUGAUGUACUAAGACUCUACUGGAUGCAAAAAUCUAACUAUUUUCCCUUUAUUUAUUUGUAACCUAGCAAGAGUUUUUAUUUUUGCAGGGCGUUUUUGAAGUGCAAGUGCUAACUGUACAUCAAUCUGUCUGUACCUUAUGAAAUCAGGCCCGAUACAUAAAAAUUACCUCACUCAUACAGGCUCAACGUUAUGGUGUAUGUGUAUAUAUAUAUAUAUCCCCCAAAAAGGCAGUCCUUCAAACUUUGCAAGAAUAAACAAUGGCCUUUGUCUUCCGCAGCUCAAGCCAUUCUCCUGGCAGUCAGGGUUGAUAUUUAGUUAAUUUCCUGUGUGCCCCCCUCCCCACCCCCACCACAGCUGAUAGACUUUUAAAGCUGCUCAGAUCACAGGGAACAAAAGAAUGACUGACUGGCCACUUAUCUCCAAAACACACACUAUGCUUUCAAAGAAAAGAGGGAGAGCGAGAGACUGAUGAGGAAAUAAAAAAUAGGAUUGACCUAAAUAUACAGUGGGGUCCAAAAUUGACAACCUUGAUAAAGAUCAAUAAAAGUGACUGUAAAAUACUGAGCUAUAUUGUAUUCUCAAACAAAUGGGGGAAAUAUAUUAGAUUAUGCUUCAGUGCCAUUAUCCUCUGAAGGUGAGGUAAUUGAAAACAGAGGUAUCAAUAAUUUUGAUCCCCACCUUCGUUCUCUGAGCAAUUGUAUUAGUAUUCAAUAUGGUAUUUUCCCCAGCAUGCAAUAUAGCUCAGUAUUGGAAUUAUUUUAUACAGCAAUUUUUGCUCAUUUUUGUCAAGUGUGUCUUUCAGAGAUCAAUGUACCUCAUAUCACUGAAGCGUCAGAAAACAGGGACACGCUUCAUGUAUGUAGUGGAAAUACUUGUAGUAUAGGUUAAACAUUUGUAUAAUCAUGUAACAAUGCCUGUGUUUACAAUUAUAGAAGAGCAAUUGACUCGUUGAAUUGCAAAAUGUAUUUGUUUUGUCUAAAGCCUUCACGCCAAGCAGUGUUGCAUUCUAGAUGCCUCAUAGAAACUUUAAUUUCUCAUGUUAUAUCCCUUAUUUUUGUUACUCGCCAUAAAUGUGUUGAUAUGAUCUCUAGAAGGAUAUUGUUUACAAAAAUGUACAAAAACACUAAAAAUGUAUGUUAAUUUUUUUUUUUUUGUUUCUACCGAUAUGCAUGAUAUGUUUUUAUGGCUUUUUUUCUUAUCGUCACCACAACACCAAAUUUUGUAGCAGAUGCCUCCCCAUCCCUGGCUCUUUUUUUUUUUCAAGACCCUUGUGAUAUGAUUUCCAGGGCUGUACCUGUUAUUGAAUUUAUAAAACGAUUUAGAGAAGCCAAUAAAAACAUUUUUUGGUAAUAAAAAA
ensembl:lncRNA